ensembl:lncRNA
UCUAGUGUAAAGAACAGCAAAAAAAAAAAAAACCUAUUUGGAUAGAUUUAGUGUUUGAAUGAAAGUACUUCAUUGUCUAAUUUGGACAACAAUAUAGUUUCAAGUUGCUUUGUAAAUGCCAAAGAGGAGUUUAUGUUCAAUCCUAGAAACAGGGAAUCACUGGAUGUUUACUGAAUAGGGAAUCACAUAGCCAAAGUCCUAUACAUUCUGAUAUUUUAAUUGUAUGUAUUUAAUUUCUAUUUUUCAUCAUUUCUAAGCCUAAGUACAGGGGGUAUAAUGGGUUACCCAGGCAGCCACUAAAUUACUUUCUUCUACAAAGGACAAGUAAAAUUAUCAUAUAUGCAUCCUAGAUUUUCCACGCAGGCUCUAUUUUAAGAAAGUUAAUUCCACAAAAAGCCUUUGAAAAAGUGACAGCCUUCCUUCAGAACAUGUUUAGCUAUGUUCUUUCCAAAGGUAAGCUAUGAGUAAUCAGUAAUUAGGUAUUGAAUAUAAGGUUAAAUUUAGACGUUUAUCAAAAUGGAAAUUUGAUAGGUAGCCUCUAUGGGGAAGAAUCUUAAUUUCUUUAACUCAAAGAUAAUUAAAGCAGUACUCCCAAAUGGCCUCCUAUACUAUUAAUUAGAGGAUAGUUCCUAGCUUUGGAAUUACUACUUCCUAAAGGCAACUUUUGUUUCUGUCAACAUUAGUAUCAAGCUAAUAGUCUAGCCCAGCCCAGCUAAAUGCUAUCAGUCUGGUGAUAAUGAUAUCAUACAGAAUUGAUGUCUGCAGGCAAAGGGAGGAGUCACUCAGCCUUACCACAGGACUGGUUUGCCUUUUUCAUGUUACCUCCUGUUUUCCAAGUCUUUCUGUACCUGGAACCCAAAGCAUUAAGGAUAAUUUUAUAGGACAGUUUCUUUUUUUUCUUUUUUUUUUUUUUUUUUUUUUAUUUAAGUAUUUAUCAUAUUUACUCACAAAAUUGAUGUUACUUUUAAAAAGAUGAUCAGAAAAAUCUAUAUUAAGCCAUAAUUUCUUCAAUUAUUUAAAGUGAUGUUAAAAUAAGUUUUCUAAAAAUGACAAUCUCUUAUAAAUAUUUAUGAAAGGAUAAAGGAAAAGACAUAGGCAAGUAAGUCCUAUAAGGCAUAUUCCAUUAUACAGUGAUAGAUAUUUAGAACCUACUCUUGCAAAGAAAUAAAAAUCACAAGUUUUAAUCAAUUUCCCCUUUACUUUUUAAAAUCCAAAUCAGAUUUCUGCUAGUAUAUGCCCUGUCUUUCACACCAGGAGUUAAGUAUUCCAGAAUAUAGUUAUAUAAAUGAUUUUUAACUACUUAGAACAACCUGAAACAAAUGAACAUAUAAUAUGAGUUUCUCUCAUCUUGAGGAUGAAGGGUUUAGAUCAGAGAGCCUUUCUGAAAAGUCCUGAGGGUUAGCCAGAUCACAGAACCUUAAACUUAAACAAGAACACUACCUAACUUUCAGAUCAAUACUCUUGGCAGUAGACCACACUGGAAGAUUCCAGAGGGCUCUAAGCUGAGCCAGCCAGAAUUGAGAAUUCUAGAGCCUAAAACAAGUCAUAACUCCACUUCCUAGAAGGCUUCUGCUCUAAUAAUACCAGCUAGUCUACCAAUCUACUGAGUUCAAGACUCAUUGUGGCAGAAUCAACAAACUGAUGUUGCUUAGCAGACUUAGUUCACUCUUCUUAAACUUUCUGGCCUCUUCCCUGUUACUUACUAGCCUGUUCCUUUCCUCCUCCUCCCUUCCCCCUCCCACAACCCCAUAUACUCCCACUCUUCAUCACCUCCUUGAUUUCCUGCUUCAAAAGUACCACCACUUGCCAGAAGCCUUUUCCUCAAUGCUAGUGCCUUACCUCUUAUAGAAGGACAAAGCACUAACAUUAGCGACUUCUUCCAAUUUCAGGGCAUCUAGGUAGCAUAAUGGAUAGAGUAAAGGAGCCUAGAGUCAGGAUGACUCCUCUUCCUCCAUUCAAAUCUGGCUUCACACACUUACUAGCUAUGUGCAAAUAACUGAGCAAGUCAUUAUUACCUCAAUUUCCUCAUCUGUAAAAUGAGCUGGGAAAGUAAAUAGUAAACUUUUAUCAAGACUAGUCAUAAAGAGUCAUAGGGUCAUAAAGAGUUGGCCAUGACUAAAAUAACUGAACAAAAAAAUUUUCCAAUUUAUCCUUUAUAUAUAGUGUAUGUAAAGUUGUUUGUCUAACACGGUUUCUUUCCUCUUAGAAUAUGACCUCUUUGAGGACAGGGAUAUUUUCUGCCUUUCUUUAUAUCUCCAUUGCUUAGCAAAAUGAUUGGCACAUAGUAAGCACUUAACAUGGACUUGUUGAUUUGAACUGUUAAUUGUAGAGACACUAGAGUUUGUAGUAAGUUAGUUACUCAAUUAUCAAAUGUAACUUGAAUUCCUUUGAAAGAAAGAAAAGGAGUUCAGGAAAAAAUAGCUUCAUUUUUUUUUUCUUUUUACCAUUAUUAUAAGUGUAUACACACAUUUGUAACUAUAAAAAUUUAAAUUUUCAUAUAAACAAGCUCAGUAGAGUAAGCAUCCAAGAUGAGUUCAAAUUACAUACAAAGGUACCGUACCAUGAAAGCAUCCCAAUAGAACUCUGUAAAUGCUCCCAGCCAGACUAAGAGAACUCUUCAGUUUCGUACUUAAUCAAAACGGGGCCUCUGAAAUCAGAAUAACAUCCAAGGGGCUGAUUAAUUAUGUCUUACCAUGUAAACAUUUCUGUAGUGUGUAAGCAAAUGGAAGCCAUAGAUAAGCAUGCAUUUGGUUAGUAAUCACUUUCAGUUAUUCAUUUUUCAGCUACUUAAGAGAUUCUUCCUGAUGACACAUCUCAAACUAGUUAUUAAAAUGAAAAAGAAACUGAAAAGGUACAUUAAGCUUGCAAAAGGGCUUCUUUGUGUAUUUUUUAAGAUCUACCUCCUGUAAAAAUCAAGCAUGAAGGGUAUUCCACUGUAAGUGAUGUCUGCAAGGAACAAGCUAGAGAAAUAAUAUCUUUGUUUCAUAAACAUUUCAUAUUUGCUCAAUCAUCAGAUAUUUACUGAGUUUUUAAUAUUAAAGCAAUACUAAAACGGUAUACUUGAUAAAGCAGCACAGAAUAUAACCAGUGCAUGUCUUAUUGCACUGUCUCCAUUUGUAGUAUGUAACAGUCAGUCGAUAAGCAUUUUUAAGUCACAUUUAAGUCACAACCUAGUACAUGUCUGACAUUGUGCUAAGUGCCUAGUAGGCAAGGAAAAGAAAUAAAUAUUUAAAGUGCCUUCUAUGUGUCGGACAUUAUAUGCUAGGCAUUAUGAUCUCCUGUGACCAACUUCACAAGGUAGGCAACUUUUAUUAAACUUUUUAUUGUUGAGGAAAGCUCAGUUGAGGAAACCAGGCAAACAGAAGCUAAACAGAAGCAAAGUGACUUGUUCACAUAAGAACCUUAGCCUAGAUUUAAAGUCAGGUUUUCUUGAUUCCAGGUUUAGUGCUCUAUCCACAAUCUAGCCACCAAGUGCCUUCAGUACCUUGCCUUUUUAUAAAGAAAGGCAAACAUAGUCUUUGGUUUCAAGGACCUCACAGUCAAAUGAGAGAGACAAUAUGCAAAUAAUUCUGUAUAAACAAUAUACCACAAAGGUAUAUUGGGGAUAAUCAAUAGAGAGAAGGCACUAGCAUUGAGGGAAAUUGGGGGCAAAGCCUCUUGCAAAAAGUGGGAUUUUAGCUUUUUAGCUGAGGCUUGAAAGGAAAUUCACAAGAUGGAGAUGAAGAAAACAUCCUAGACCUGGGAGAAAGUCAGUUUUACCAUAGUAGGCAAAAGGACUGUCUUGUUUUAGGAAGUUCAAAU